GGGGAAGACGUCAAAUCAUCAUGCCCCUUAUGACCUGGGGUACACACGUGGUACAAUGGACAGAACAAAGGGCAGGGAAACCGCGAGGUUAAGCCAAUCCCACAAAUCUGUUUUCAGUUCGGAUCGCAGUUUGCAACUUGACUGCGUGAAGCUGGAAUCGCUAGUAAUCGCGGAUCAGCAUGCCGCGGUGAAUACGUUCCCGGGCCUUGUACACACCGCCCGUCACACCACGAGAGUUUGUAACACCCGAAGUCGGGAGGUAACCUUUUAGCA
rnacentral:rRNA from 1 species